rnacentral:misc_RNA from 1 species
GUCGCAAACGAGUCAAUUUCCUUAUGUCACUUGGCAGCCGAAAAAUUCUAGAACCGAUCAAGCUAAGAAUAACAGCUUCUUUAGUUCUCCGAUUAUAGCUAUGUCUUCUAAAACACAGAAAUCCAGACACAAUGUUUGAAGGUUCUCAAGAAAUUGAAGUGAAGAAGGCAGUGGUGACAAAUUCACUCGCGUUAGAUCCAAGACUUUCACUUCAACCAUUCUACUGAAUAAAUUCUCUG